rnacentral:rRNA from 1 species
GACGAACGCUGGCGGCGUGCUUAACACAUGCAAGUCGAGCGAAAAGGCUCUGCUCUUGUUGCGUUCUCGAGUGCCGAACGGGUGAGUGACACGCGUGUAACCUGUCCUUGUCUUUGGGGUAACUUCUGGAAACAGGGGCGCUUAUCGCGUAUGAGCUCCUGCUGCAUGGUUUUUGAUGGUAAGUUUCGGCGGUUGGGGAUUGACUCGCGGCUUAUCAGCUUGUUGGUGAGGUAGUGGCUUACCAAGGCUUCGACGGGUAGCCGGCCUGAGAGGGUGACCGGCCACAAUGGGACUGAGAUACGGCCCAGACGCCUACGGGAGGCAGAAGUGGAGAGUAUUGCACAAUAGGCGGAAGCCGGAUACAGCGACGUCGGGUGCGGGAUGACGGCCUUCGGGUUGUAAACCGAUUUCGACUGUGACGAAGCGGGAGUGACGGUAAUGAGUAAAGAAGCACCGGCUAACUACGUG